AUUGAACGCUGGCGGCAGGCCUAACACAUGCAAGUCGAACGAGUGGCGGACGGGUGAGUAAUGUCUGGGAAACUGCCUGAUGGAGGGGGAUAACUACUGGAAACGGUAGCUAAUACCGCAUACCAUCAGAUGUGCCCAGAUGGGAUUAGCUAGUUGGUGGGGUAACGGCUAACCUAGGCGACGAUCCCUAGCUGGUCGGAGAGGAUGACCAGCCACACUGGAACGAAGACACGGUCCAGCCUCCUACGGGAGGCAGCAGUGGGGAAUAUUGCACAAUGGGCGCAAGCCUGAUGCAGCCAGGCCGGGUGUAUGAAGAAGUCCUUCGGGUUGUAAAGUAUUUUCAGCGGGGAGGCGUUACCCGAAGAAGAAGCACCGGCUAACUCCGUGCCAGCAGCCGCGGUAAUAC
rnacentral:rRNA from 1 species